CACACCUGUGGCUUAAGAGUGAUUGAUAGUCCAGUUUGUUCUCCAUGUGUGUUUGUACCUAGUUUAGAGCCUUAAUAUUCAAUGUUGAGCCCAGUUCCAAAUGGUGCUUUCACAGUCCUGCGGGUUAUAAUCACCAUGCAUGCAAGAAUGCUUUGAGUCUGCAAACAAAUUUGACAGUCUUGAAAAAUAGACCCGGCACUAAAUCCACAGCAUCGUUUCCUCCCCCUCAGGCACAGAUGGGAAAAGCAAAGUUUCAUCAAAAGCCCCCGUGUCCACCUGAACUGAGGCGGACAGAGUGCGCCUGUGCUGAGGUGACUGGGUGAGUGAUCAACGUUCAGCUGAGCAGGAGCAGCGGUUGGAUCCGCUUCUGGAAACUUCGGAACG